rnacentral:rRNA from 1 species
AAUCAACGCUGGCGGCGUGCCUAACACAUGCAAGUCGAACGCGAAAGCCCCUUCGGGGGCAAGUAGAGUGGCGUCCGGGUGAGUAACACGUGGGUAAUCUACCUCCGGGUGGGGAAUAACUCGCCGAAAGGCGGGCUAAUACCGCAUAAUGCAGCGGCACCGAAUGGUGAUUAGUUGUUAAAGCGGGGGACCUUAGGGCCUCGCGUCUGGAGAGGAGCCUGCGGCAGAUUAGCUUGUUGGUAGGGAAUGGCCUACCAAGGCUGCGAUCUGUAGCUGGUCUGAGAGGACGGCCAGCCACACUGGCACUGACACACGGGCCAGACUCCUACGGGAGGCAGCAGUGGGGAAUUUUGGGCAAUGGGCGAAAGCCUGACCCAGCAACGCCGCGUGAAGGAGGAAAUCCUUCGGGAUGUAAACUUCACAAGCAAGGGAAGAGCGCGCAGGGUCGAAUAAACUCU